CUGGGUGGCAGCUUGGAACGAGCUCGGAUCACUAGUACGGCCGCCAGUGUGCUUGGAAUUCGCCCUUUUAGCAUGGAAUAAUGGAAUAGGACGCGCGGUUCUAUUUUGUUGGUUUCUAGAGUCGCCGUAAUGAUUAAUAGGGAUAGUUGGGGGCAUUAGUAUUCAGUUGCUAGAGGUGAAAUUCUUGGAUUUACUGAAGACUAACUACUGCGAAAGCAUUUGCCAAGGAUGUUUUCAUUAAUCAAGAACGAAGGUUAGGGGAUCGAAAACGAUCAGAUACCGUUGUAGUCUUAACAGUAAACUAUGCCGACUGGGGAUAGGGCGACCUCGAUUCGAUGUGUCGCUCGGCACCCUACGAGAAAUCAAAGUCUUUGGGUUCGGGGGGGAGUAUGGUCGCAAGGCUGAAACUUAAAGGAAUUGACGGAAGGGCACCACCAGGGGUGGAGCCUGCGGCUUAAUUUGACUCAACACGGGGAAACUCACCAGGUCCAGACAUGACUAGGAUUGACAGAUUGAUAGCUCUUUCUUGAUUUUAUGGGUGGUGGUGCAUGGCCGUUCUUAGUUGGUGGAGUGAUUUGUCUGGUUAAUUCCGAUAACGAACGAGACCUUCACGUGCUAAAUAGCCGGUCGGGCCAAGGCCCGUCCCAGGCUUCUUAGACGGACUAUCGGCGUCUAGCCGAUGGAAGUUGGAGGCAAUAACAGGUCUGUGAUGCCCUUAGAUGUUCUGGGCCGCACGCGCGCUACACUGACAGGGCCAGCGAGUUUCCUACCUUGGCCGGAAGGUCUGGGUAAUCUUGUGAAACCCUGUCGUGCUGGGGAUAGGGCAUUGCAAUA
rnacentral:rRNA from 1 species